AACGGGGCCUUAAAGCUUUUAGCUGUGUUCAAGAUUCGGCUCUGUCAUUGCUUUUGCUCCAGAGAUUGAGCGAUAAGUUCCAAGCAGCAUGCACAUCUCAGUUUCUUUUCUUGUGGUAGAGGAAGAAAAUGGAAAGAAAGGAGCAAAAGUCGAGAGAUAAAAGUAGAGGAAUGAAACACAAUAACCUUCCUCAUUGCAGUUGAGAAUUUGGAAUCAAGAACCAGCAGGAAAUAUCAAGCACUCCCAACUACAGAAACAUGAAUUCCUUAGCCGGUUGUGUACUGGAAGCACUUCACUAGUUCCAGGCUGUCCUAGAAAUUCACAAAUGAUUGACAUCAACCGCUUCAUCAAAUCGAACAUGGAUAUUUUCAUGAUCCAUCACUCGAGCGAUACCGCGCCAAACUUCUCAUUGUUGACUUGGUGCCCGUGGCAUGGGUGUAUUCGAUAGGAAGCUCUUGAACAAAGCAUGUGCAUGAGAGGGAAGAUACAUUGGGACUUCGUGUCCUGAUCCCAAAACAGCAACGAAUGUAAGCCCUUCGUAUACCUCGAUCCAACCUCCGAGCUGAUCAGAAACCAAAGAGUCCUCUUUUAGUUUGCUGUGAAUUACUGCGUGAAAGCUUUUCUUCAACUUGAUUUGAAUUGCACUUACCAGAUUGUUAUGGUUCCAGGGGUGCCAUUUAUUCUGUAGUUUGAGCUUAAGUGCCUCAAUGUUGCGCCGAGUCGUUGACAAAGUAAUGGCUAUAUCUGUAGUCCCGCUGCUCAAAAGUAAAGAAAUAAUCUGUGAAAAACAAAUAUUCGGUA